GUGUUGUGAAAUGUUGGGUUAAGUCCCGCAACGAGCGCAACCCUUAUCCUUUGUUGCCAGCGGUCCGGCCGGGAACUCAAAGGAGACUGCCAGUGAUAAACUGGAGGAAGGUGGGGAUGACGUCAAGUCAUCAUGGCCCUUACGACCAGGGCUACACACGUGCUACAAUGGCACAUACAAAGAGAAGCGACCUCGCGAGAGCAAGCGGACCUCAUAAAGUGCGUCGUAGUCCGGAUUGGAGUCUGCAACUCGACUCCAUGAAGUCGGAAUCGCUAGUAAUCGUGGAUCAGAAUGCCACGGUGAAUACGUUCCCGGGCCUUGUACACACCGCCCGUCACACCAUGGGAGUGGGUUGCAAAAGAAGUAGGUAGCUUAACCUUCGGGAGGGCGCUUACCACUUUGUGAUUCAUGACUGGGGUGAAGUCGUAACAAGGUAACCGUAGGGGAACCUGCGGUUGGAUCACCUCCUUACCUUAAAGAAGC
rnacentral:rRNA from 1 species